GAGAGGACGACCCCUAAACGGACUUCCGUGUUCUGUGUACACAAGCUCCUCCCCUCUCCUUCCGCCUAUUCUGCGCACUGGGACGCCGACGGUCACCAUAGAGACGAGAGCAAGACUUCCUGUCACGUGAGCGCCUGUGAUCACGUCUGCACUGGCUGGCCGCCGCCUCUUGUACACCGAGACAGAAUGGAGAGCCGGGAGAGAACAUUACACCGGGAGAAGGAGGGGAGCAGAGAGCCCGCACAGCUGGCGGAGAGGAGGAAGGAGGCGGAGGGCUGUCUGAAGACUCUGUCCUGUCAUUCAUACUGGUUCGAUGUGUGGAUCUUCUUACUGUUUGACCUGGUGCUGUUCAUCUUCAUCUACCUGCUGCCUUCCGAAGCCUAACACAAGUCUACGUCAUUUGACUCUUGACCACCCCGCCUUGAGGAGACGUACACAAUUUAAGCAGGAUGAGGAGAGGCGUGGCCAUGUCAAACUGCAGGUCUACAGCAUGACUUCAGGACAUGAGACAAGUGUGGACUCUGAAAAGACUGCUUUCCAAUCAAGACCUGUUCAUUUUUACCAUUCCCUUGCAGAGAUAUUUAUUUUCACUUGCAAUUACUUUUUUGGAGUUAUUUCUUAAAUACUUUAUAAUAUAAUUAUACUAAAGUAGUUAUUUAAAAAAAAAAAAAAAUGCUCCUGUGUCAUUUAUAAUGGUUGCAUUUUCAUGAUCUUUUUUUAAAAUACAUUUUAACUUCUUAA